AGAGUUUGAUCAUGGCUCAGGAUGAACGCUAGCUACAGGCUUAACACAUGCAAGUCGAGGGGCAGCAUGUUGGUUGCUUGCAACCAACGAUGGCGACCGGCGCACGGGUGAGUAACGCGUAUCCAACCUACCCUUGUCCAUCGGAUAACCCGUCGAAAGGCGGCCUAACACGAUAUGCGGUUCACGGCAGGCAUCUAAGGUGAACGAAAUGUGAAGGAGAAGGAUGGGGAUGCGUCUGAUUAGCUUGUUGGCGGGGUAACGGCCACCAAGGCUACGAUCGAGUAGGGGUUCUGAGAGGAAGGUCCCCCACAUUGGAACUGAGGCACGGUCCAACUCCUACGGGAGCA
rnacentral:rRNA from 1 species